AAAUUGAAGAGUUUGAUCAUGGCUCAGAUUGAACGCUGGCGGCAGGCCUAACACAUGCAAGUCGAACGGUAACAGGAAGAAGCUUGCUUCUUUGCUGACGAGUGGCGGACGGGUGAGUAAUGUCUGGGAAACUGCCUGAUGGAGGGGGAUAACUACUGGAAACGGUAGCUAAUACCGCAUAACGUCGCAAGACCAAAGAGGGGGACCUUCGGGCCUCUUGCCAUCGGAUGUGCCCAGAUGGGAUUAGCUAGUAGGUGGGGUAAUGGCUCACCUAGGCGACGAUCCCUAGCUGGUCUGAGAGGAUGACCAGCCACACUGGAACUGAGACACGGUCCAGACUCCUACGGGAGGCAGCAGUGGGGAAUAUUGCACAAUGGGCGCAAGCCUGAUGCAGCCAUGCCGCGUGUAUGAAGAAGGCCUUCGGGUUGUAAAGUACUUUCAGCGGGGAGGAAGGGAGUAAAGUUAAUACCUUUACUCAUUGACGUUACCC
rnacentral:rRNA from 1 species